rnacentral:rRNA from 1 species
UACGGGGGGGGCAAGCGUUGUUCGGAAUUACUGGGCGUAAAGGGCUCGUAGGUGGCCAACUAAGUCAGACGUGAAAUCCCUCGGCUUAACCGGGGAACUGCGUCUGAUACUGGAUGGCUUGAGUUCGGGAGAGGGAUGCGGAAUUCCAGGUGUAGCGGUGAAAUGCGUAGAUAUCUGGAGGAACACCGGUGGCGAAGGCGGCAUCCUGGACCGGUAUUGACGCUGAGGCGCGAAAGCCAGGGGAGCGAACGGG